CUGUGGUCAUAAGGAAGGGAAAUAAAAAUAAACCCUGACAUGCUAGUUAAGAUAUGGAGGACAUUAGAAAGUUACAGCACAGGCAGGGGACAAAUUAGAGGGAAACAUCUGUUUUGAACACAUUAUCAUCACCAACCACCUACAACGGGCAAAGCAUGAAGUUGGAUAUUAGCGUGACCCAAGU